rnacentral:rRNA from 1 species
AUGAACGCUGGCGGCGUGCCUAAUACAUGCAAGUCGAGCGAACGGACGAGAAGCUUGCUUUUCUGAUGUUAGCGGCGGACGGGUGAGUAACCCGUGGAUAACCUACCUAUAAGACUGGGAUAACUUCGGGAAACCGGAGCUAAUACCGGAUAAUAUUUUGAACCGCAUGGUUCAAAAGUGAAAGACGGUCUUGCUGUCACUUAUAGAUGGAUCCGCGCUGCAUUAGCUAGUUGGUAAGGUAACGGCUUACCAAGGCAACGAUGCAUAGCCGACCUGAGAGGGUGAUCGGCCACACUGGAACUGAGACACGGUCCAGACUCCUACGGGAGGCAGCAGUAGGGAAUCUUCCGCAAUGGGCGAAAGCCUGACGGAGCAACGCCGCGUGAGUGAUGAAGGUCUUCGGAUCGUAAAACUCUGUUAUUAGGGAAGAACAUAUGUGUAAGUAACUGUGCACAUCUUGACGGUACCUAAUCAGAAAGCCACGGCUAACUACGUG